AUUGACCUCUUUUCCUUGCUCCACACAGAGCUGGCCCCCGAGCACGGCCCGCGCCCGGGGGACACGCUGGACCAGUGGGUCUCAGCCUUCCUGGUGUACGCCAGCGUGCUGUGCGAGAAGCACCCGGCGCGCUGCGGAGCCAUGUUCAAGUACCUGGACACCAUCCGCAAGCUGCACGCCACCUACGGGGGCACCUCCUGGAUGAACUACGACGAGGACUUUAGGCGGCGGGCGGCGAAGAACCCCUCUCUGCCCUGGGGUGACGUCGACCUGGACCUGUGGAUGAAGUGGAUGGCGCCGCUCAAGUCGCUUGUCCCCAGGCACUCGCGGAUUGAGGGCGAGACACAGCCCUCGCCGGCCCCGCCGCCCCCGCCGGCGCAGAGCCCCAAGCAGGAGGAGAAAAGCCAGACUCCAUGAAAGCAGAAGGCCAGUUGGGAUGGCAGUCAGACUAAUUGGCCUGACUCCGUUGGUGUUUAAGUGGAGCUCUGGUAUUCUAGUGCAUUCUUUUACCUCUGCUUCUGUUGCGUUGCAAGCUGUGCUAGAGAAGACGUAGGAAAUUCAUUUUACCCAAUCAGCAAUUAUAACAAUGGACUACAAACCUGCAGAGCAAGCCAGUUUGCUGGAAAACAGGAAUUCCUGCAGCGCAGCACUUGUCACAGACUAUCCAAAGAGGGCAAAGAUUCAGGAAGGUGAAUAAAUUGAACAUUGGUUGAAUGAGGUCA
rnacentral:lncRNA from 1 species